rnacentral:rRNA from 1 species
ACGUUAGCGGCGGACGGGUUAGUAACACUGGGUGACCUACCUAUAAGACUGGGAUAACUCCGGGAAACCGGGGCUAAUACCGGAUAAUACAUGAAACCGCAUGGUUUCAUGAUGAAAGACGGUUUUGCUGUCACUUAUAGAUGGACCCGCGGCGUAUUAGCUAGUUGGUAAGGUAACGGCUUACCAAGGCAACGAUACGUAGCCGACCUGAGAGGGUGAUCGGCCACACUGGAACUGAUACACGGUCCAGACUCCUACGGGAGGCAGCAGCC